rnacentral:rRNA from 1 species
AUAACGAUACGGGACUCAUCCGAGGCCCCGUAAUCGGAAUGAGUACACUUUAAAUCCUUCAACGAGGAUCCAUUGGAGGGCAAGUCUGGUGCCAGCAGCCGCGGUAAUUCCAGCUCCAAUAGCGUAUAUUAAAGUUGUUGCGGUUAAAAAGCUCGUAGUUGAAUCUGUGUGCCACGCUGUCGGUUCAUCGCUCGCGAUGUUUAACUGACAUGAUUGUGGGACGUCCUACCGGUGGACUUAGCCUUUUAGGCACGGUCCAGCUAAUAUCCCAUCACGGUGCUCUUUAUUGAGUGCCGAGGUGGGCCGGUACGUUUACUUUGAACAAAUUAGAGUGCUCAAAGCAGGCUAUGUUCGCCUGAAUACUGUGUGCAUGGAAUAAUGGAAUAGGACCUCGGUUCUAUUUUGUUGGUUUUCGGAACCCCGAGGUAAUGAUUAAUAGGGACAGAUGGGGGCAUUCGUAUUGCGACGUUAGAGGUGAAAUUCUUGGAUCGUCGCAAGACGGACAGAAGCGAAAGCAUUUGCCAAAAAUGUUUUCAUUAAUCAAGAACGAAAGUUAGAGGUUCGAAGGCGAUCAGAUACCGCCCUAGUUCUAACCAUAAACGAUGCCAGCUAGCGAUCCGCCGAUGUUCCUUUUAUGACUCGGCGGGCAGCUUCCGGGAAACCAAAGCUUUUGGGUUCCGGGGGAAGUAUGGUUGCAAAGCUGAAACUUAAAGGAAUUGACGGAAGGGCACCACCAGGAGUGGAGCCUGCGGCUUAAUUUGACUCAACACGGG